UACGUAGGGACCGAGCGUUGUCCGGAUUUAUUGGGCGUAAAGAGCUCGUAGGCGGCUCAGUAAGUCAGGUGUGAAAACUCCAGGCUCAACCUGGAGACGCCACCUGAUACUGCUGUGGCUAGAGUCCGGUAGGGGAGCAUGGAAUUCCUGGUGUAGCGGUGAAAUGCGUAGAUAUCGGGAGGAACAUCAGUGGCGAAGGCGGCUGCCUGGCCCAAUACUGACACUCAGGUGCGACAGCGUGGGGAGCAAACAGG
rnacentral:rRNA from 1 species